AGAGUUUGAUCAUGGCUCAGGACGAACGCUGGCGGCAGGCUUAACACAUGCAAGUCGAGCGCCCCGCAAGGGGAGCGGCAGACGGGUGAGUAACGCGUGGGAACGUACCCCUCGGUUCGGAAUAACUCAGGGAAACUUGAGCUAAUACCGAAUACGGCUUAGCGGCGAAAGAUUUAUCGCCGAGGGAUCGGCCCGCGUCC
rnacentral:rRNA from 1 species